CUACUCUUGACAUCCAGAGAACUUAGCAGAGAUGCUUUGGUGCCUUCGGGAACUCUGAGACAGGUGCUGCAUGGCUGUCGUCAGCUCGUGUUGUGAAAUGUUGGGUUAAGUCCCGCAACAAGCGCAACCCUUAUCCUUUGUUGCCAGCGGUUCGGCCGGGAACUCAAAGGAGACUGCCAGUGAUAAACUGGAGGAAGGUGGGAAUGACGUCAAGUCAUCAUGGCCCUUACGAGUAGGGCUACACACGUGCUACAAUGGCAUAUACAAAGAGAAGCGACCUCGCGAGAGCAAGCGGACCUCAUAAAGUAUGUCGUAGUCCGGAUUGGAGUCUGCGACUCGACUCCAUGAAGUCGGAAUCGCUAGUAAUCGUAGAUCAGAAUGCUACGGUGAAUACGUUCCC
rnacentral:rRNA from 1 species